rnacentral:rRNA from 1 species
GACGAACGCUGGCGGCGUGCUUAACACAUGCAAGUCGAACGAUGAAGCCGGAGCUUGCUCUGGUGAAUUAGUGGCGAACGGGUGAGUAACACGUGAGUAACCUGCCCUUGACUCUGGGAUAACUGCUAGAAAUGGUAGCUAAUACCGGAUACGACCCUCGGAGGCAUCUUCAGGGGGUGGAAAGAAUUUCGGUCAAGGAUGGACUCGCGGCCUAUCAGCUAGUUGGUGAGGUAAUGGCUCACCAAGGCGACGACGGGUAGCCGGCCUGAGAGGGUGACCGGCCACACUGGGACUGAUAAACGGCCCAGACUCUUACGGGAGGCAGCAGUGGGGAAUAUUGCACAAUGGGCGCAAGCCUGAUGCAGCAACGCCGCGUGAGGGAUGACGGCCUUCGGGUUGUAAACCUCUUUUAGUAGGGAAGAAGCGAAAGUGACGGUACCUGCAGAAAAAGCACCGGCUAACUACGUGCCAGCCGCCGCGGUAA